UGAAGAGUUUGAUCAUGGCUCAGAUUGAACGCUGGCGGCAGGCCUAACACAUGCAAGUCGAACGGUAACAGGAAGCAGCUUGCUGCUUUGCUGACGAGUGGCGGACGGGUGAGUAAUGUCUGGGAAACUGCCUGAUGGAGGGGGAUAACUACUGGAAACGGUGGCUAAUACCGCAUAACGUCGCAAGACCAAAGAGGGGGACCUUCGGGCCUCUUGCCAUCAGAUGUGCCCAGAUGGGAUUAGCUUGUUGGUGAGGUAACGGCUCACCAAGGCGACGAUCCCUAGCUGGUCUGAGAGGAUGACCAGCCACACUGGAACUGAGACACGGUCCAGACUCCUACGGGAGGCAGCAGUGGGGAAUAUUGCACAAUGGGCGCAAGCCUGAUGCAGCCAUGCCGCGUGUAUGAAGAAGGCCUUCGGGUUGUAAAGUACUUUCAGCGGGGAGGAAGGUGUUGUGGUUAAUAACCGCAGCAAUUGACGUUACCCGCAGAAGAAGCACCGGCUAACUCCG
rnacentral:rRNA from 1 species